AGAGUUUGAUCCUGGCUCAGGAUGAACGCUAGCGGGAGGCCUAACACAUGCAAGUCGAACGGGAUCCAUGAGCAAUCGUGGUGAGAGUGGCGCACGGGUGAGUAACGCGUAUGCAACCUACCUUUAACUGAGGGAUAGCCCAUAGAAAUGUGGAUUAAUACCUCAUAGUUCUUUUGGUCCGCAUGGAUUGAAAGAUAAAGCUCCGGCGGUUAGAGAUGGGCAUGCGUGACAUUAGCUAGUUGGUAAGGUAACGGCUUACCAAGGCUACGAUGUCUAGGGGUUCUGAGAGGAUGAUCCCCCACACUGGUACUGAGACACGGACCAGACUCCUACGGGAGGCAGCAGUGAGGAAUAUUGGUCAAUGGGCGCAAGCCUGAUCCAGCCAUGCCGCGUGAGUGAAGAAGGCCUUCGGGUUGUAAAGCUCUUUCAGCCGGAAAGAAAACGCACGGGCUAAUACCCUGUGUGGAUGACGGUACCGGAAGAAGAAGCACCGGCUAACUACGUGCCAGCAGCCGCGGUAAUACGUAGGGUGCGAGCGUUAAUCGGAAUUACUGGGCGUAAAGCGUGCGCAGGCGGUUUCGUAAGACAGAUGUGAAAUCCCCGGGCUUAACCUGGGAACUGCGUUUGUGACUGUAUAACUCGAGUGUGGCAGAGGGGGGUGGAAUUCCACGUGUAGCAGUGAAAUGCGUAGAGAUGUGGAGGAACACCGAUGGCGAAGGCAGCCCCCUGGGUCAACACUGACGCUCAUGCACGAAAGCGUGGGGAGCAAACAGGAUUAGAUACCCUGGUAGUCC
rnacentral:rRNA from 1 species